GACGAACGCUGGCGGCGUGCCUAAUACAUGCAAGUCGAACGCUUCUUUUUCCACCGGAGCUUGCUCCACCGGAAAAAAAGAGUGGCGAACGGGUGAGUAACACGUGGGUAACCUGCCCAUCAGAAGGGGAUAACACUUGGAAACAGGUGCUAAUACAGUAUAACAAUCGAAACCGCAUGGUUUUGAUUUGAAAGGCGCUUUCGGGUGUCGCUGAGGGAUGGACACGCGGUGCAUUAGCUAGUUGGUGAGGUAACGGCUCACCAAGGCCACGAUGCAUAGCCGACCUGAGAGGGUGAUCGGCCACAUUGGGACUGAGACACGGCCCAAACUCCUACGGGAGGCAGCAGUAGGGAAUCUUCGGCAAUGGACGAAAGUCUGACCGAGCAACGCCGCGUGAGUGAAGAAGGUUUUCGGAUCGUAAAACUCUGUUGUUAGAGAAGAACAAGGAUGAGAGUAACUGUUCAUCCCUUGACGGUAUCUAACCAGAAAGCCACGGCUAACUACGUGCCAGCCGCCGCAGUAA
rnacentral:rRNA from 1 species